ACAAUGGAGAGUUUGAUCCUGGAUCAGGAUGAACGCUAGCGGCAGGCUUAACACAUGCAAGUCGAGGGGCAGCAUAAAGAUGUAGCAAUACAUUUUGGUGGCGACCGGCGCACGGGUGCGUAACGCGUAUGCAACCUACCUUUAACAGGGGGAUAACACUGAGAAAUUGGUACUAAUACCCCAUAAUAUCACGAAAGGCAUCUUUUGUGGUUGAAAACUCCGGUGGUUAGAGAUGGGCAUGCGUUGUAUUAGCUAGUUGGAGAGGUAACGGCUCACCAAGGCGACGAUACAUAGGGGGACUGAGAGGUUAACCCCCCACAUUGGUACUGAGACACGGACCAAACUCCUACGGGAGGCAGCAGUAAGGAAUAUUGGUCAAUGGACGGAAGUCUGAACCAGCCAUGCCGCGUGCAGGAAGACGGCCUUCUGGGUUGUAAACUGCUUUUCUACGGGAAGAACAGUUAGUACUUGUACUGAUUUGACGGUACUGUAGG
rnacentral:rRNA from 1 species